rnacentral:rRNA from 1 species
CAAGCGGAUCUCUUAAAGCUGUUCUCAGUUCGGACUGCAGUCUGCAACUCGACUGCACGAAGCUGGAAUCGCUAGUAAUCGCGGAUCAGCACGCCGCGGUGAAUACGUUCCCGGGCCUUGUACACACCGCCCGUCACACCAUGGAAGUCUGCAAUGCCCGAAGCCGGUGGCCUAACCACUUAUGUGGAAGGAGCCGUCUAAGGCAGGGCAGAUGACUGGGGUGAAGUCGUAACAAGGUAUC